rnacentral:tRNA from 1 species
GUCGGUAGCUCAGGUGGUUAGAGCGCACGCCUGAUAAGCGUGAGGUCGGAAGUUCAACUCUUCCUCGGC